UCCUUGGUGGCUAAGAUGGUAAAGAAUCUGCCUGUGAUGCAGGAGGCCCAGGUUCAAUCCCUGGUUUGAGAA
rnacentral:tRNA from 1 species